GGUUGGUGGCAUUGCCCCACGACUCUCCUGCCCCGCAGCGGCGUGGAAUCGUCGGGGGCGUGUGCCCGGUGCUGAGGACCUGCGGGCGCUGGGCAGCGGGGAUCCGCAGCGGGAGCGGGAAGCGCGGGGUCCUGGGUGGCCGCCGCGAGCUGGGAAGCUGUCUGGUCCCGCUUGGGUGAUUUGUGAUGGCUCAGGAAGAGGUUGUCUUGACCUUCAGACUGGAUUUCUUGGACCCCAGUCUCCUCAUCUCCCUCCAUUUUACAACCAUGGAUGCCAUACUUCCUAAAAAAUCUAUACAACCAACCACCACACAUCUCGUAUGCAUCUUGCAGACAGGGAAAUAAUGAGAAAGGAGUAAGUUAACCUGUGAGAAUACUGCUCAAUGAAUAAAGUGUUUAAAACACUCCCACAAGCCCGAGGAUGUGGGU
ensembl:antisense Gm43591 predicted gene 43591